rnacentral:miRNA from 1 species
CAGGCUCUCCUUCCCUCCAG